rnacentral:rRNA from 1 species
GGCUGUCACUAUAAGAUGGGCCCGCGGCGCAUUAGCUAGUUGGUAGGGUAAUGGCCUACCAAGGCGACGAUGCGUAGCCGACCUGAGAGGGUGAUCGGCCACACUGGGACUGAGACACGGCCCAGACGUCCUACGGGAGGCAGCAGUAGGGAAUCUUCCACAAUGGACGAAAGUCUGAUGGAGCAACGCCGCGUGAGUGAAGAAGGUUUUCGGAUCGUAAAACUCUGUUGUAAGGGAAGAACACGUACGAGAGUAACUGCUCGUACCUUGACGGUACCUUAUUAGAAAGCCACGGCUAACUACGUG